UCUAUGUCAUUUAUUGACUGAUCCUGGCAGUCCCUGAGCAUGGAAUUGUUGGGUGUGUCAGGCCACGGCAGUGGCACCAAGGAGGCUCUGAGCCAGUGGCAUCCCAGGAUCUGAAAAGAAAAGCCCAUGUGCCCAGAAGCUUGUUUUCUUGAAAGAGCAACAUUGCAGGAGAAUUCAAGAACAUCUCAG